rnacentral:rRNA from 1 species
GACGAACCGUGCGAACGUUAUUCGGAAUCAUUGUGCUUAAAGGGCGCGUAGGCGGGCGACCGCGUCGAGUGCUGAAAGCCCCCGGCUCAACCGGGGAACGGGCCUCGAUACGGGUCGCCUCGAGGCGAGGAGGGGGACCUGGAACUUCCGGUGGAGCGGUGAAAUGCGUUGAGAUCGGAAGGAACGCCCGUGGCGAAAGCGAGCCCCUGGACCAAUACUGACGCUCAUGUGCGAAAGCGUGGGGAGCAAACAGG